rnacentral:rRNA from 1 species
UGAACGGCCACAUUGGGACUGAGACACGGCCCAGACUCCUACGGGAGGCAGCAGUAGGGAAUUUUCGGCAAUGGGGGAAACCCUGACCGAGCAACGCCGCGUGAGUGAUGACGGCCUUCGGGUUGUAAAGCUCUGUUGUAAGGGAAGAACGGUAGAUAGAGAAUAUCUAAGUGACGGUACCUUACCAGAAAGCCACGGCUAACUACGUGCCAGCAGCCGCGGUAAUACGUAGGUGGCGAGCGUUAUCCGGAAUUAUUGGGCGUAAAGGGUGCGUAGGCGGCCUGUUAAGUAAGUGGUUAAAUUGUUGGGCUCAACCCAAUCCAGCCACUUAAACUGGCAGGCUAGAGUAUUGGAGAGGCAAGUGGAAUUCCAUGUGUAGCGGUAAAAUGCGUAGAUAUAUGGAGGAACACCAGUGGCGAAGGCGGCUUGCUAGCCAAAGACUGACGCUCAUGCACGAAAGCGUGGGGAGCAAAUAGGAUUAGAUACCCUAGUAGUCCACGCCGUAAACGAUGAAUACUAAGUAUUGGGGAAACUCAGUGCUGCAGCUAACGCAAUAAGUAUUCCGCCUGUGGAGUAUGCACGCAAGUGUGAAACAUAAAGGAAUUGACGGGGGCCCGCACAAGCGGUGGAGUAUGUGGUUUAAUUCGACGCAACGCGAAGAACCUUACCAGGUCUUGACAUUGAUGGACAGAACCAGAGAUGGUUCCUCUUCUUCGGAAGCCAGAAAACAGGUGGUGCACGGUUGUCGUCAGCUCGUGUCGUGAGAUGUUGGGUUAAGUCCCGCAACGAGCGCAACCCUUGCCUUCAGUUACCAGCAUUCAGUUGGGGACUCUGGAGGGACUGCCGGUGAUAAACCGGAGGAAGGUGGGGAUGACGUCAAAUCAUCAUGCCCCUUAUGGCCUGGGCUACACACGUACUACAAUGGCUGUUACAACGUGCAGCGACCUAGCGAUAGGAAGCGAAUCACUAAAAGACAGUCUCAGUUCGGAUUGAAGUCUGCAACUCGACUUCAUGAAGCUGGAAUCGCUAGUAAUCGCGGAUCAGAAUGCCGCGGUGAAUACGUUCUCGGGCCUUGUACACACCGCCCGUCAUACCAUGAGAGCUGGUAAUACCCGAAGCCGGUGGCCUAACCGCAAGGAAGGAGCCGUCGAAGGUAGGACUAGUGAUUGGGGUCAAGUCGUAACAAGGUAUCCCUACGAGAACGUGGGGAUG